UUCAGUGAGGAGUCAUUAUCACUCACUCAGUCGCCAGUCGGUCCUUAAUUAAAGGCUCUCAGAGUAGAUUUGCCACGGCGGCGCUGUACCACGCACGUUACGUGGUAGCCUACCAUUUUAAAUCUCCAGCCUCUGCAGCCAAAGUCUUCAGCAGGUUCCCAUCUUGAAACUGUAUCGACCAUUUAGCGCACACAAGCCUUUCAUCAGGUAUUGUAGCCCGUCCUCCAGGCCCUUGGUUGGCACAUCUGUCCGGGAGUGUGAUGUCUGCCACUCAUCCAAUGGCUAAUAAUCAAGUGUCUCAUCCAACAUCUUUAUGCCAACCCAGCAAUAAGGUGAUGAGUGGCCCGCCUAUUAGUGGGCCAAUCACCACAGCUCCCACCACAAGUAACAGUACUUUGGGUCAAUUCCCUGCCAGUGUUUCUCAGAAUGAAAUAAUGUCGGGGUCCAGGCCCAGUAUCCCCCCUCCUCCGUACAGCACUCCCAGUGAUUCUGCCGUCAUGAACCAGAUGGCCAGCCGAACAUCUCCUGCCAUUCCCGUCUCAUCGGUUGCUGCCACAUUGGGUAUUUCUAGCCUUGCAUCUCAACACUGUUCAUGUUCUAUGACCAAUACAUCAAGUGGGGAAAAUUCCUUCCCACCCACUGCCCAACCAGGCAUGAUAACAACUAAUGCCAAUAGUGAGAAUACAGUGAUGCCAACAUCAAUUCACACUAAGGACAAUGCCUCAGGCAAUCAUUCCACUCCCUCAGAGAUGACUGAUGACAAGUCAGACGUCAAGCCGGGCCCAGCAUCAGUCAUGGAACCGCCAGGCCAGCCAGGGCAACCUGGCCAGGCGGGUCAGCCUCAGAGAAAUGCAACCCAGGCAUUGCAGCAGCUUUUACAGAAUUUGAAGAACCCCUCAGUCCCACAUCAACAAUCUGAGGUUUUACAGAUACUCAAAACUCACCCUCAGCUCAUGGCAGCUUUUAUCAGGCAUCGACAAAUUCAGCAGGAGCAACAACAACAGCAACAGCAGCAGCAGCAACAUCAGUAAAAUCUGCAGGGUGCUGGUCAGCCAGGGAUGAUUAUGAUACCCCAAAACACCAGUGGAUUGCAAGUACCUGCUCAAGGCUCCCUGCAGCCAGGUAUACAGCCUGGUGGCAUGCAGCCUCGCAUCCAAGGGAACAUGCAGACCAGCAUGCAGGGUGGGAUAGUCACACAAAUGGCUACCAGUCAACCCAUGCAGGUACAGCAGCCACCAAUGGGGGUACUGCCAGGUCAGGCAAGCAUGGCUCAACAGCAGCAGCAAUGGUACCAGCAUCAAAAACUCGUGCAGAUGAGACAACAACAGCAGCAACAGCAGUCACAACCAGGGGGUUUCAAGCAACCUCAGGCACCGAUGUACACACCCAGUUUUGUGCUCUCCUUUUUUCUGUAUUUAAUCUUUAUAUUUUAUUUUAUUUGCUGGACAAUAUUAUUAAAAUCACUCUUUUAUCACUUAUUAAUCACUCUGUAAAUGAUCUUACCGUCUCGUAUCGUAUAGCUUGAUCCGACUCAAGUUGUUAUAUGACACUAGGGUUCGGGAAUAUACAAGGGAAAAUAUACGGUACAUCUUAAAUUUAGUUUAAAAUUAAGGAAGUAAUUUCCUCACACAACAUUUAACGCUCAAUGCAAUCAUAACAUUAUGGCAUGUUCAGCAAUCAAUACGGCGUAUACAAACAUCGCGAACAUAAAAUUCUAACUAAAAAAUGCACUUGGAAUUUUUACCUAUCUAUCAAAACUCACACAAGCACCAGAACCAGUCUAGUAGUCUAGUCUAGUAGUAGGCGUGGGAUUGCCUUUGUAACGGCUCCCACUUAUGGUCCUUAUUCUUGAUUGGCGUUGUUGAGUCUUUUAGUUUUGGUGCAUUUUCUUUUUUCUUCUGAUCAAGAUUUUUAUAUAUUUUUUUCUGUCUUCAAUUUCUUACAGUGAUAAUGACUGAAACAUUAAUAUAUUGGCUAUUAAGUAGUCUCUGCUUUGGCUUUCUGUGUUCUGUAUAAAAAAAAAAUAUUUUGUCUUAUUUCUUCAUAUUCUUCACAGUCCAGAAGAAAAUGUUCUAAAGUUUCUGUUUCUUCACCACAACACGGACACUCUUCACUUUUCCUCUGAAACCUGUUCCUCCAGUUUAAAGUUAGGGUAUUAGUUCUUCCUCUUAAUAUUAAUUUUGUUCCCAAUGUGUUGUCUGCCCACGUUUCUUCUUUUAGGUCCUUUUUGUAUAAUUCAUAUAUCCUUAAUGGUGACUUUGUCUGUAUCUCGUUUUUCCAUUUCACUGAGUCCCAUUUCCUUACUUUUUCUAUUAUAUUACUCUUUGUCAGGCUAUCAAGCUGUGUUAUAUUUAGUUCAUUCACAUAUUUCUUUAAGGUUUUAGUCCACUUGUGUUAGUGUUUUCUAUUUCUCUAAGGAAUAUAUUUUCGGACAAGUUAUUUCUGUCUUCUUUCAGUAAAUGCUUAGCAAAUAGUACCGGUAAUUUAAUUUUCAUGUCUCUGGCAUAGCAAGAUGAGGCACCAAUAUCCCCUCUUAGGACACUGUUGGCGGCAAAGGUUGGGACUUGUAAUAUUGUCCUGUAGACGGCGUUUUCUAUUCUUUGUAAUUUAGUAAUUUCUUCAGUGAAUUCCAUAAUUUCAGCUGAAAAGAGUACUGCUGACAGUGCCUUUCCCUUCCAGUAAGUUUUGCCAAUGAGUAAUCUAUUACAGCAUCUUGCUAUCACACUAUGUAAUGAUAGCUAACUCACUAGCUUUGGUUAGUCUUUCUUUUUUGAAGCCCUUGAAGCAGUGUUUGUUGUUAGUUAUUUUGACUCAUAGGUAUGUUAUACUUUGUGUUACUAGAAUGUUUUCAAUACUAAUUUUUUGUUCUUUUUUGUUAAUAUAAGUAUAUUGUUUUUUUCUUUAUUUAUUAUUAAUCCAUAUUUUUCUGGUA